GCGAGAAUGGCGGAAUUGGUAGACGCGCCAGACUUAGGAUCUGGUGGGGUAACACCCGUGGGGGUUCGAGUCCCCCUUCUCGCA
rnacentral:tRNA from 2 species